rnacentral:lncRNA from 13 species
AAUACCUGUUUAAUACCUGUUCAACACUCUUUCAAUACCUGUUCAAUACCUGUUCAACACUCUUUCAAUACCUGUUUAAUACCCGUUCAACACUCUUUCAAUACCUGUUCAACACUCCUUCAAUACCUGUUUAAUACCCGUUCAACACUCCUUCAAUAGCUGUUUAAUACCUGUUUAAUACCUGUUCAACACUCUUUCAAUACCUGUUCAAUACCUGUUCAACACUCUUUCAAUACCUGUUCAAUACCUGUUCAACACUCUUUCAAUACCUGUUUAAUACCUGUUCAACACUCCUUCAAUACCUGUUUAAUACCUGUUCAACACUCUUUCAAUACCUGUUCAAUACCUGUUCAACACUCUUUCAAUACCUGUUCAAUACCUGUUCAACACUCUUUCAAUACCUGUUCAAUACCUGUUCAACACUCUUUCAAUACCUGUUUAAUACCUAUUCAACACUCCUUCAAUACCUGUUUAAUACCUGUUAAAUACUCCUUCAAUACCUGUUUAAUACCUGUUCAACACUCCUUCAAUACCUGUUUAAUACCUGUUCAAUACCUGUUUAAUACCUGUUCAACACUCCUUCAAUACCUGUUUAAUACCCGUUCAACACUCUUUCAAUACCUNNNNNNNNNNGAAUUCUAGACAUCAGUACAGAAUACAGCUAUAGAAUUCUAGACAUCAGUAUAGAAAACAGCUAUAGAAUUCUAGACAUCAGUACAGAAUAGAGCUAUUGAAUUCUAGACAUCAGUACAGAAUACAGCUACAGAAUUCUAGACAUCAGUACAGAAUACAGCUAUAGCUCUGAUGGCUCUGCUUAUUUGUUGGGUCAAGUUGCCCCUAAAUACUGGUCUUGGGCAGUUUUGCUAGCCUGGGUCCCACAUCUUUGUGUUAUCUUUCUAACUCCCAGCUGUGUGAGGAAGGAAGCUAUACAGUUAAGCAAGCACAGUGAAACCUAUUACACCUACUCCAUUGCUAACUCUCAUUGUCAAGCCAUGUGUGUGGGAUGUCAAUUCCAUAAUGAGUUGGCAAGAGAGCACAAACAGACUGGCACCCAGGCUAAUACCUAGUAUAUCACCUAGCCUGGGCAUCAGUCUGGUUGUGCUAACAUUCCACACCUUGUAGUGUGUUGUCAUAUGUUUGGCUGUGGCAAGGUAUAUGAUGGCACAAACUGAUCUGGGACCAGGCCUACCAAAACACUUAAGAAGUGGGUGACAACCUGCACCUAUAUCUGGAUCUAUCACAGAUCAUUGCACCCUUACAUUGAAAUGUCUUUCUUCUUCAGUGAUUUUUGUUGUUGUUGGUUUUGAUAGCGUGCUCAAUGCUAUCGAUCUAGUCAUGUGGCUUUUCUCAGUGUAUUAAGCUGAUAUGCAAAGUAGUUUCUCCUAAAUAUAACAGAGCAUUUAUUUUUUAUUUUUUCGAUGAUGGUGGUUAUUUUACAUCCUUGAAAGAAGUUUAAUAGUAAAGAGUUUGAACAAUAAAGAAAUAUGAGAGUCCAGUCAAAAGUAGUGUAAUAUAUCUAUAGGGGAGGAUUUGGGACGCACUUUUACGUUACACCCUUAGGGUUGAAAUGUAUUGAAGUACAGAGGUUUUUUUAGUUGUAUUUUAUUAAGAGAAAAUCUUUGAUUUCGAGCUGCUUCAUGUGUUUGUGUCUUUGUAACGAUGAAAGAUAAAACCUUGCGUUUUUUUCUCUGUUUGUAUAUUUGACGGGAACACAGGAACAAUGUAACUGAGUUUGCAUCCAAAAUAGCAACCUAUUCCCUAUGUAGUGCCCUACUUAUGACAGGCUCUGGUCUAAAGUAGGGCACUAAUAUAGGGAAUAGGGUGCCGUUUGGGACACAGAGAGAGAGAAAGUGACCGAUCAUCAUCUUUACCUCACUGAGGGAAUUUUCAGGGAUUGUUUUGACAAUGCAUCUUCAUACCCGUUUAAUACCUGGUUAAUACCCGUUCAACACUCUUUCAAUACC